ACGCUCGACACCUACGGGAGGCAGCAGUGGGGGAUAUUGCACAAUGGGGGAAACCCUGAUGCAGCAACGCCGCGUGAAGGAAGAAGGUCUUCGGAUUGUAAACUUCUGUCCUCAGGGAAGAUAAUGACGGUACCUGAGGAGGAAGCUCCGGCUAACUACGUGCCAGCAGCCGACGGUAAUCUGAGCGGGCUGGCAAGGC
rnacentral:rRNA from 1 species